rnacentral:tRNA from 1 species
GCUGCCGUGGCUCAAUCGGCAGAGCAGUCGUCUCGUAAUCGGCAGGUUGGCGGCUCAAGUCCGCCCGGCAGCA